rnacentral:rRNA from 1 species
GUUAUAUGGUCAAGUGACUAAGCGUGCACGGUGGAUGCCUUGGCAUCUGGAGGCGAUGAAAGACGUAGUAGCCUGCGAUAAGCUUCGGGGAGGUGGCAAACAACCUUUGAUCCGGAGAUCUCUGAAUGGGGAAACCCACCUGUCAUAAGGCAGGUAUCGUAUACUGAAUACAUAGGUAUGCGAGGCGAACGCGGAGAACUGAAACAUCUAAGUACCCGCAGGAAAAGAAAUCAACCGAGAUUCCCUUAGUAGUGGCGAGCGAACGGGGACCAGCCCUUAAGCUGUUUUGUAGUUAGUAGAACGCUCUGGAAAGUGCGACCGUAGUGGGUGAUAGUCCCGUAUACGAAAACUUAUAAGCAGUGAAAACGAGUAGGUCGGGACACGUGUUAUCCUGACUGAAUAUGGGGGGACCAUCCUCCAAGGCUAAAUACUCCCAGAUGACCGAUAGUGAACUAGUACCGUGAGGGAAAGGCGAAAAGAACCCCUGUGAGGGGAGUGAAAUAGAUCCUGAAACCGUGUACGUACAAGCAGUGGGAGCCGACUUAGUUCGGUGACUGCGUACCUUUUGUAUAAUGGGUCAGCGACUUAAUGUUAGUGGCAAGGUUAAGCGAAUAGCGGAGCCGUAGGGAAACCGAGUGUUAACUGCGCGUCCAGUCGCUAGCAUUAGACCCGAAACCGGGCGAUCUAUCCAUGAGCAGGUUGAAGGUUGAGUAACAUCAACUGGAGGACCGAACCCACUACCGUUGAAAAGUUAGGGGAUGACUUGUGGAUAGGAGUGAAAGGCUAAUCAAGCCCGGAGAUAGCUGGUUCUCCUCGAAAACUAUUUAGGUAGUGCCUCGUGUCUAACCAUGGGGGGUAGAGCACUGUUAAGGCUAGGGGGUCAUCUCGACUUACCAACCCUUUGCAAACUCCGAAUACCCAUGAGUUCAAUCACGGGAGACACACGGCGGGUGCUAACGUCCGUCGUGAAAAGGGAAACAACCCAGACCGUCAGCUAAGGUCCCAAAGUUACAGUUAAGUGGGAAACGAUGUGGGAAGGCUAAAACAGCUAGGAGGUUGGCUUAGAAGCAGCCACCCUUUAAAGAAAGCGUAAUAGCUCACUAGUCGAGUCGGCCUGCGCGGAAGAUAUAACGGGGCUCAAACUGUACACCGAAGCUACGGAUGCCAUUUAUGGCAUGGUAGAGGAGCGUUCUGUAAGCCGUCGAAGGUCAAGGUGUGAACCAGGCUGGAGGUAUCAGAAGUGCGAAUGCUGACAUGAGUAACGAUAAUGGGAGUGAAAAACUCCCACGCCGGAAACCCAAGGGUUCCUGUCCAACGUUAAUCGGGGCAGGGUUAGUCGGCCCCUAAGGCGAGGCUGAAAAGCGUAGUCGAUGGGAAGCAAGUUAAUAUUCUUGCACCUCUUUAUAAUGCGAUGGGGGGACGGAGAAGGCUAGGCCAGCACAGCGUUGGUUGUCUGUGUUUAAGGUGGUAGGCAGAGGACUUAGGCAAAUCCGGGUCCUUAAUGCCGAGAACUGAUGACGGUGACUCUACGGAGUCCGAAGUGGUCGAUGCCAUGCUUCCAGGAAAAGCCUCUAAGCUUCAGUUAUAAAGAGACCGUACCCCAAACCGACACAGGUGGGUAGGUAGAGAAUACCAAGGCGCUUGAGAGAACUCGGGUGAAGGAACUAGGCAAAAUGGCACCGUAACUUCGGGAGAAGGUGCGCCGGUUAGGGUGAAGGACUUGCUCCGUAAGCUCUGGCCGGUCGAAGAUACCAGGUGGCUGCGACUGUUUAUUAAAAACACAGCACUCUGCAAACACGAAAGUGGACGUAUAGGGUGUGACGCCUGCCCGGUGCCGGAAGGUUAAUUGAUGGGGUUAUCUUCGGAGAAGCUCUUGAUCGAAGCCCCGGUAAACGGCGGCCGUAACUAUAACGGUCCUAAGGUAGCGAAAUUCCUUGUCGGGUAAGUUCCGACCUGCACGAAUGGCGUAACGAUGGCCACACUGUCUCCACCCGAGACUCAGUGAAAUUGAAAUUGCGGUUAAGAUGCCGUAUACCCGCGGCUAGACGGAAAGACCCCGUGAACCUUUACUAUAGCUUCACAGUGAACUUUGAAUUGUCUUGUGUAGGAUAGCUGGGAGGCUUUGAAGCGAGGACGCCAGUCCUUGUGGAGCCAAUCUUGAAAUACCAGCCUGGUCAAUUUGGGGUUCUAACUCUGGUCCAUUAUCUGGAUCGAGGACACUGUGUGGUGGGUAGUUUGACUGGGGCGGUCUCCUCCCAAAGAGUAACGGAGGAGCACGAAGGUCGGCUAAUCUUGGUCGGACAUCAAGAGGUUAGUGCAAUGGCAUAAGCCGGCUUAACUGCGAGACAGACACGUCGAGCAGGUACGAAAGUAGGUCAUAGUGAUCCGGUGGUUCUGUAUGGAAGGGCCAUCGCUCAACGGAUAAAAGGUACUCCGGGGAUAACAGGCUGAUACCGCCCAAGAGUUCACAUCGACGGCGGUGUUUGGCACCUCGAUGUCGGCUCAUCACAUCCUGGGGCUGAAGCCGGUCCCAAGGGUAUGGCUGUUCGCCAUUUAAAGUGGUACGCGAGCUGGGUUUAGAACGUCGUGAGACAGUUCGGUCCCUAUCUGCCGUGGGCGUUUGAGAUUUGAGAAGAGCUGCUCCUAGUACGAGAGGACCGGAGUGGACGAACCUCUGGUGUUCCGGUUGUCACGCCCGUGGCAUUGCCGGGUAGCUACGUUCGGACAGGAUAACCGCUGAAAGCAUCUAAGCGGGAAGCCCCCUUCAAGAUGAGAUCUCACUGACUCCUUGAGAGUCCUGUAGGGCCCUUGAAGACUACAAGGUUGAUAGGUCAGGUGUGUAAGCGUUGUGAGGCGUUGAGCUAACUGAUACUAAUUGCCCGUGAGGCUUGACCAUAUAACACCCAA